GAUGAUACAGGUUCAGGUGUCAAAUCUGUAUCAUGUGAACUGUGUUUGACACAUCCUUUGUGUCUUUCUCUCUUCUUGCUCACAUGAACACGAAAGAGGUUAUCUUGAACAUGUUUUCGCUCAAGUUUGAAACAGUAUUGUUUAGUGUUACUCUUCCUUCAAGCUAUGUUAAGGUUUAAAGCUAUUUAAUGGGUUGAAAGUGUAGUUAGGCCAUUGGAGAUACCAAAACAGCUAUCAAACUUUUUGAUAUGUCAAAGCUUCAUGUUUCCAACAACUAAUGGUUGUUCUAUCCUAAAGACUUCUG
rnacentral:lncRNA from 1 species